rnacentral:lncRNA from 1 species
CGACACAUCUAAUGUGACGCCUAAAAAUUUUUCAUCUCUAAUCUAGUUAGUGUUGAAAUAUUGGCUCAGCAAGUUUCAUGACCAUUCAUAUAGUAUUUUUGUCACUUUAAUUGUUUUUAGAUAAAUAAAACCUGCCACUAGUAAAUAUUUGCCACUUUCUUCAUGUAUGUUCUACGAACCACUUAUUAAGAAUGUCUUUCUUCAUAUUGUUUACAUUUAAAAAUACAUACUUUUCUAACAAAAUCUCAGCGGCUCAAACUAUAAUAGAAAUAUUUAUUUGGCCUAGUUGAUUUACCAUUUUUUAUAUAUUUUGUACGUAUUAUCUAGCGCUUCUAAAAACUCAUUCAAAGUUUUGCCUGCACAAUACUCUCCAUAAUGUUCAUCUUUUCAGGAGAAUGGUUGCAAAAUAUGGAUAUGGCAGGACUUGGUGGAGUACGAGCAUGUAUAGCAGUCUGAAGUCUAAGGAACUAGGAACAAAUAAAAAAGCUAUUUUUUUCUUUUUUGUUUGGUCUGAUUUUUUCAUUUUAUUGUCCAGCAUUGUCACAUGCAUCUUAUAACUGAUCUACCUUUUUAGUACUUAUUAAUCUCGCGUAGGCUUAAUGCACGGUUCGAAGGUUUCUAUACGAGACAUCUGUCUGUGACACCUUUUGUUAUUGUCCUAAAUUCAAGCAAAAUAAAACUUUAUGUUUUUUUUGUAAUAUUCUCUUUACCAAAACUCCCUAGCUGUACUACCUUAUGUUCCUAUAACCUUUUAGCGGUACCUAUUUUCUAUUAGGGCUUGUUUGGUUUCUCGUGUUUUUUAAUAUAUAUCACACUAUAUGUUUAGAUACAUGCAUAGAGUACUAAAUAUAGAUUAUUUGCGAAACUAAAAAUAGAACUAGAGAGUAAUUUGCGAGAUGAAUCCUUUAAAUCUAAUUAGUUCAUAAUUAGACAUUAAUUGUCAAAUAAAAUAAAAAUACUACUAUGUCUGUUAAAUUUUCCAAAUUUUUUUUUGGUAUUAAACAAGGCCUAGGCCUUGUUCACUUGACAAAGAUUUCUAGUUUUCGACACUGUUGCACUUUCAUUUGUAUUUAAAAAUUAUUUUUUAAACUUUAUACUAAUUAGGCUCAAUAGAUUCGCCUCUCAAAUUACAGAUGAAUUGUGUAAUUGAUUUUUUUUAUAUCUAUAUUUAAUGUUUCAUGCAUACGUCUA